AUCUACAAAUUUUAUAAAUAUUGUUUAAUUUUAAUUUUUGGUAAUUAUGCAACUUUUACAAAUUUAUUUAAUAUACUUAAUUAAAAUAAAUAGAUCAAAAAAUCUAUCUAAGAUUAUAAUUUCAAAUAUAUACAUGCAUAUUCUUAAGUAUAUUUUCUAUGUUUAAUUAAAUCAAAUUUAUAUUAAAAUAUGAACAAGUGAGUCGAGUAGUGGUUGAAGCUAAUAAAGCUGCAACGGCUGCAAUUCAGAAUCAGAUGGAUGGUAAAUUUUGUCAAAGUUGAAACUUUUUGGUGAAAGGAAAAAAAGUUGCAAAUCUUUUUUGUUUUGGUUUGAUGUUGAUUUCGGUUUUGUUACCGGUUUUCUCUGUAACCCUGAUUGAGCUAAAAGAAAUGGGAAGCUUGUUUCAGAGGUUUUUAACAUAGAAAUUUCGAUCUUUAUUAUUUCUUUCUUGACAACAAUCUGUAUGUACAUAGAAGAAGUAGAAGAAGAUGAAGAUGGUGUCUUCUGUUUUUGUAAAUCAACGGCUUUAUGAUGGAAUCUUUGGGAAGAAGUGAUGUUGAUUGAUAUUAUGAUCUUGAUCUGGAUCACUGACAUGUCUUUCUUUUAGAUAUUACACAAUAAUUUUGUAAUAGUUUACUGUCACUUGGUUGCCCAAGGAAAACUAAAAAUUUAGGAGAAGGAUGAGAAGAUUCUUGCUCGGUCUACGCUCGUAGUAUCAAAAUAGAAUGCAAUAAUUCUAAUUCUAUUUUUUAACUAUUACUAGAAUAGAACCCGCACUUUAAAAGUGCGAAAUUAUUUUUUUGACAAAUGUAUUAACAUGUUAGUUUCAGAUAUGGGUGUUCAGAUUUAGCUCGCUUUUAGAUUGUAUUCUUGGUUUUCGAUUUGGUUCAGGCUAGUUGUGAUUUUUCAUUUUUGGUUCAAAAAUAUAGGAAAUGGUUUCAGAUAAAUUACACUUUUUUGUUCUUAAAAGUUUACAAAAACUUUUUUUUGCUCUUAAAAGAUUUUGAACGAUUUCGAUUUCAUUAUGUUUAUGUGAAGCAUAUUUAUAGGGUACAAAAUGUAUUUUAAAUAUUACAAUGUUUUUAGUGAAUCAUCUGUUUGUUAUAAAAACCAAAGAAACACAUUACAAAAUCUUAGAUAGGUAUAGUUUAUAUUAUCUAAUAGCAGUGUUUUAAAACUCGAUUUGGACCCGCAGGCGAACCGGUAAAUUCGGUAAUCCGAUAUAUAAUCCGGUUUGCGUCUUAUAAAAAUCAUUAUUUAAGAAUCCAACAAACUCACAAAAACCACAAAAACCCAAAACCCGUAUAUCGGUUAAAUCAUUGGUUGAACCAGUAGGUAACUUUUAUUAGAAUCUAUUUUAUAUUAUAAUUAAGAAUUUAGUUUUCAAUUUUUAUCGUAUAUAAUACCGAUUAAACUGUUUUAUUUUAUAGUAUAUAAUUUUAAUUCAAUUUUUAUUUUAUGUAUUUAUAUGAAUUGUGUAUUGUGCUAUGACAAAUAAAAGUCAACACCUAAGUGACGUAACAGGUGAACCGGAUCUAAUGUUUAUAUGAUUCAUGCUAUUUUGAAGUUUUUGUGUUCAUAAUAAGGUUAAUAUAACUCUAACAGAAGAAAAAGUGAUUUUGGUCAAGACGCCAUAUUACAGAUACAAUAUGUUAUUAUAAAUAAGGAAAGAACAUAACAUUAAUGUAUGAAAAUGUAUCAAAAAAAUGUAUCAAUAGGAACCAGAGAGAAACAAACACAAUUACCAACGAUGUCAUUAUUGUAGAAUAACUAUACUGAGAGUUGUGUUAGGUCCAACAGGUCCAAUCUAAUUUAAUAUGCAUUGACCAGGUCCAAUCUAUUUAGUAAGGCGUUGGUUUAGUAGAUAACCGAAUUAGCGUUUAGUAUGUCGUUUUUUUUAGUUUAAGUAGAUCUCAUGAUAUUUGUAUAAGUUGCGUGUAAUAAGAUUAUAACAUUCUUGAAAAGGUCCAAAAGUUAAUGAUAACAUGUAACAUUUUACAUUUUUGUUAAAAUUUAAUUUUUAUAUUUGUUUUUUUAGUCAUAUAUACGUUUUUCUUCGAUAGUAUUGAUCCAUGUUCAAAAACGCGGGCGAGUUACUGACUAAUCGGCCGCAAAAACGGUGUUCGGAAGGCAACCGUAGCGAUUAUGAGCAGAUCGGGAAAAUUAUGCGGUGACCCGAGUUUCAACUGUUUGAGCCGUAGAAUUCAAUAAGCCGGCGACUUAUAUUUUUCGUCGCGUGAUAUAGAUUUAUAAUAUCAUAAAUUUCUUUGCAUAAAUGGCUUAGUUUGUGUUAGAUUUAUAAGAUUUUGUUGAUAAUUUGAAGAAAAAUGGUGAAAAAGCAACGAACAGGAUGUAUAAUGCAAGCGACGGCCAUUUUAGGUUACAGCUUUUGUGCAGGGAAGAUGAUAAAAGCGAAAGUACCAGCGUACCCUUUAUUAAUAAUACGAAAAUAAACAAAAUGUUGUGUACUUUGGGUAUUGAUCCUGAAGCGCUUGACAAUCAAAGCUACACAGGACCACUGAGCCAAGUCAACUUUUUUCAAUAUCAUUACAAAAAAUCAUAUUUACCUACAAUUAGAUGAAAACCUUUGAAAAAAAAUCCCCGAUUACUCUCCGAUUAAUCUCCGAGUUUUCAUCAACUCUCUAGGCCCAGACCGACCGCCCGACUCACGCCUAACGUAGUUUCGAACAUGGGUAUUGAUAUAUAGUAACUUCGAAAAGCCCAACCAAUAAUGUAUUUUUUUUCAAAAAAACCCACGAGCUAAAAAAUAUCUGUAAAUAUUUUUUUUUGAAAUAUGUAAUUUUUAUAUUUGUGUUAUUUUGUAAUCAUAUUUGUGUUUAGUGAAGUACAUAAUCAUUUUUCUACAUAAUUAUUUUUAAAUUUUUACAUGUUUUGCGCUUAAUUUGUAUAUAGAUACUUGUCUUAUUUUAGUUUUCGUUUUGUUUUAAUGGUUUAAAAUAGUAAAUUUUUAAUUUAUUUUUUAACGCUCUUGUAUUUGUUCAAUUUUUUUAAUAGAAAUGUGUUAAUAUGUUAUGUCUGCUCAUUUUCAUACUUGAUAAAUAGCUUGCAUGUAUACUGAAAUAACCUAUAAAAACUUUGGUCAUAAAAAUUAGGAAAAUAUUCAUGUUUACCAUUUUCAUGGUACUAUUAUUCAUUUUUACCACCAUUAAAAGGACAUUUUCAAAAAUAUCUUCUUCAUUAAGUAGCAAAAUACUCUUAUAGAUAAUUAUUUAAAUAUAUAAUAUAUAUAUAUAUAUAUAUAUAUAUUAUAUAUAAUUUCGAAUUAUACUUUUCAAAUUUGAACUUUUUAAUAAAUGUUUUUUUUAAUUUUCUUUAGAUUUUUUUUAUGUUUGAAACUAUUUUGAAAUUUUUUUAUAUUUUUUAUAUUUUUAAGUGUUUAUUUAUAUAUUUAUUAGAAUAUUAAAUUUUAACAUUUUAAAAACCCUACACCACCCCUCAACUCUAAACCUAGAUUAGUUAACCAUAUCGUUAUAAAUGUCGCUACAUUUAUUAAAAGUGAGGGUAAAAGUGGUUAGCCUAAACAUGAAAAUUGAUAUUUUUGACAAUUUCUCUAAAAAUUAAAUGUUAUCAAUAACCCAUUCCACCACUAAUUAAUUUAAUAUUAGUUAACUUUUAAAAUUUCAUUUUAAUAUAUACCGAGUUGAUUUGUAAAAUUUUUAUUUUACGAAACAAUGUAUAUUCAUAUAAAAUUUUUAUUUAUGUUUUCAAUAUUUUAUAAUCAAUUUAUAUUUUAUAUAAAAAUAAUUGUAUAACAAUUAAAAUAUAAUAAUUCAUUUAUUUGGUGUGUCUCAUGUUUGUUUUAAUUUAUUUAUAACAAACUAAAAUUAAAACCAAGUUUUUAAAUUGUUUUGUAUUAGUCAAAAAGAAUUUUUUAUAAAUUAUUAAUAUAACAAAUUAAUGUGUUUGUUAUAGAAGUCUUGAAAAUAUAUAUAAUAACUCAAAUAUAAGAUAUUUAAAUUUAAAAUAUUGUUGUCAUAGAAAAUUAAGAUAUUUUCAAAAAAUCUAAUUCUUAUAGAAGUUUAUAAAUUAUGGUGAUGGAGGGUUUAAUAGAUUAUAUACCCGUACUACUUCCUCAAUCAAAUAGUUAAUGUGUUUGUUAUAGACUCCAAUAUGCAAUUUACUGUAACUGUUAUUUACCCAAUGCCAUGUGCAUUUGGUAUAAACAAAAUGAAAAAAAAAAUUAUUAAUAUCUGAAAAUGUCAAAUAAUGUGUAGUGGAAAGAAGUGGAUCCCGUGUAUUGUGGGAUUACACUAAAUUGAAUGUCACGAAAUGGAGCAUUUAGAUUAGUAAAAGUAGUUACGGUUAUCCAAUUGUCUUUAGAUUCAGUUGAGCAAAAAAAAAUUAAUAUAUAUAAAUUCAUUAAAUCUAUUAAUAGAAUAGAUUAGAUUUUGACCUGCAUUUUCUAAGAGCGGGUUUGUUUUCGAAAUUAAAUAUUUUUUUAAAAUGAAUUUCAAUAAAAAAAAAAUAGUGUAUAGGUCUAGGUACAUUUACAUAGAACCAUGAACCGAACCAUAUCAAACAGAAAAACACAAAACCAAAAUUGAAAUUAAUUUCAUAAAUAACCCAGCAGAUAUGAUAUCUCUGAAGUCAAAAAUUGAAACCGAACA